rnacentral:rRNA from 1 species
AACUUUCAACAACGGAUCUCUUGGCUCUCGCAUCGAUGAAGAACGCAGCGAAAUGCGAUAAGUAAUGUGAAUUGCAGAAUUCAGUGAAUCAUCGAAUCUUUGAACGCACCUUGCGCCCCUUGGUAUUCCGAGGGGCACGCCUGUUCGAGUGUCGUG